GGUCCAGUGGCGGAACUGGUAUACGCGCAACACUUAAAAUGUUGUGCUUUAAUAAGCAUGUGGGUUCGACUCCCACCUGGACCACGA
rnacentral:tRNA from 2 species